rnacentral:rRNA from 1 species
UACGUAGGGUCCGAGCGUUGUUCGGAGUUACUGGGCGUAAAGGGCGCGUAGGCGGCGCACCAAGUCAGGCGUGAAAGCCCUGGGCUCAACCCGGGAAUUGCGCUUGAGACUGGUGUGCUUGAGUACGGGAGAGGAUAGUGGAAUUCCCAGUGUAGAGGUGAAAUUCGUAGAUAUUGGGAAGAACACCGGUGGCGAAGGCGGUGGUCUGGGCCUGAACUGACGCUGAGGAGCGAAAGCCAGGGGAGCAAACGGG